rnacentral:rRNA from 1 species
UCUGGCUCAGAACGAACGCUGGCGGCGUGGAUAAGACAUGCAAGUCGAACGAUCACUAGUGGGUAGCAAUAUUCGCUAGUGGGAGUGGCGCAAGGGUGCGUAACACGUGGGUAAUUUGCCAUGAAGUCUGGAAUAACUUGCUGAAAGGCGAGCUAAUACCGGAUGUGAUUACUGGAAGGCAUCUUCUGGUACUUAAAGUCGGGGACCGCAAGGCCUGACACUUCUUGAUAAGCCCGCGGCCUAUCAGCUAGUUGGUGAGGUAACGGCUCACCAAGGCUAAGACGGGUAGCUGGUCUGAGAGGACGACCAGCCUCACUGGAACUGAGACACGGUCCAGACACCUACGGGUGGCAGCAGUCGAGAAUUUUUCUCAAUGGGGAAACCCUGAAGGAGCGACGCCGCGUGGGGGAUGAAUGGCUUCGGCCGUAACCCUGUCAUUUGCGAUCAAACCUUACGACCUAACACGUCGUAAGCUGAUAGUAGCGGAAGAGGAAGGGACGG